GUUCCAUAGCAACGCGUAGACAUUUGUUUGUUGUGAAUGUUCAAAAUUGUUUUUUGUUUCUUUCCUAUGCAAUCCAUUUGCUAAUUUUUAUUUGUUUCAGGCGAUCGAGCAAAUAUUUUAAAAUGGAAUUACUAGCAAGCAGGAGUAGUUGGAAAUCCGUUCUCGGGAAGCCCGUAAUCUGUAAAGCGACUCCGCCCUACUGAAGGUGGACCGGAGCUUCAUUUGAUUGUACAAAUCUGUAUCGACUUGUAGAAAUCCGAUUGAUCGAAAUGAAAAAUACAACAAAUUGUUAAACUUUGA
rnacentral:lncRNA from 1 species